rnacentral:rRNA from 1 species
GACGAACGCUGGCGGCGUGCUUAACACAUGCAAGUCGAACGGAAAGGCCUGCUUUCCCUUGUGGAUUGCGGGUACUCGCGUGGCGAACGGGUGAGUAACACGUGAGUGAUCUGCCCCCAACUUGGGUAUAAGCCUGGGAAACUGGGUCUAAUUCCCGAUAGGACUGCAGUGUGGUGCCUGUGGUGGAAAACGAUUUUCUAGUGGUUGGGGAUGAGCUCGCGGCCUAUCAGCUUGUUGGUGGGGUAAUGGCCUACCAAGGCGGCGACGGGUAGCCGGCCUGAGAGGGUGGACGGCAACAUUGGGACUGAGAUACGGGCCAGACUCCUACGGGAGGCAGCAGUGGGGAAUAUUGCACGAUGGGCGGAAGCCUGAUGCAGCGACGCCGCGUGGGGGAUGACGGCCUUCGGGUUGUAAACUCCUUUCGACCGCGAGGAAGCCACCUGGUUGGAAGGGUGGUGACGGUAGUGGUAGAAGAAGCACCGGCUAACUACGUG